rnacentral:rRNA from 1 species
GACGAACGCUGGCGGCGUGCUUAACACAUGCAAGUCGAACGGAAGGGCCCUGCUUUUGUGGGGUGCUCGAGUGGCGAACGGGUGAGUAACACGUGAGUAACCUGCCCUUGACUUUGGGAUAACUUCAGGAAACUGGGGCUAAUACCGGAUAGGAGCUCCUGCUGCAUGGUGGGGGUUGGAAAGUUUCGGCGGUUGGGGAUGGACUCGCGGCUUAUCAGCUUGUUGGUGGGGUAGUGGCUUACCAAGGCUUUGACGGGUAGCCGGCCUGAGAGGGUGACCGGCCACAUUGGGACUGAGAUACGGCCCAGACUCCUACGGGAGGCAGUAGUGGGGAAUAUUGCACAAUGGGCGGAAGCCUGAUGCAGCAACGCCGCGUGCGGGAUGACGGCCUUCGGGUUGUAAACCGCUUUCGCCUGUGACGAAGCGUGAGUGACGGUAAUGGGUAAAGAAGCACCGGCUAACUACGUG